rnacentral:rRNA from 1 species
GGGUAGCUACGUUCGGAAUGGAUAAGCGCUGAAAGCAUCUAAGCGCGAAGCCACCCCCAAGAUAAGAUAUCCCUCCCCGAAAGGGGACUAAAGAUUCCAGGAAGACUACCUGGUUGAUAGGCCAGAUGUGUAAGCCCAGUAAUGGGUUGAGCUAACUGGUACUAAUCAAUCGUGCGGCUUGACCAU